GACAGAGGGUGCAAGCGUUGUUCGGAAUUACUGGGCGUAAAGCGCGUGUAGGCGGCUACGCAAGUCGGAUGUGAAAUCCCGUGGCUCAACCACGGAAGUGCACCCGAAACUGCGCAGCUGGAGUCUCGGAGAGGAAGGUGGAAUGCUUGGUGUAGAGGUGAAAUUCGUAGAUAUCAAGCGGAACACCGGUGGCGAAGGCGGCCUUCUGGACGAUGACUGACGCUGAGACGCGAAAGCGUGGGGAGCAAACAGG
rnacentral:rRNA from 1 species